rnacentral:lncRNA from 1 species
UCAAAAGCAAAGAUGUGAUAAUAGAUGCGGAGGCCGGAGGUAAGCCUCCUUUUCUAAAGAAAAAAAGAAUAAAUGAAAAGAGGCUAUAAGUACUAGUGUUUGUUGGUUUUGUUAGAAAUUAAUUAGUAGAUUAAUCCAAAGGAUGUGUCCAACCCCGAACAGUCGUGUCUCCUCUCUCUCUCUUGCCAACAGGCACCUGUUCUGGAGGGAUGCCUCCGAACAGACACCUCUUCUUCGCACCUCUUCCAGAUGUAUAUAUACUUGAGAAUCAAUAGAAACAUGACUAAUCGUCCAUUCACUUUUAUUCAAUCUCGUUUUUACUCGUUUUUACUCUAACACGUUAUCAGCACUUCUCUACGAAGAGCUAGAAGGCCCGAAAGAGCGGACCAACAAAGCAUGGCGGCGAGGCCCUUGGCCCCUGCGUGUCUCCAUCCGCUCAUGGUGUGGCGGCCAGCGGGGACGGCGGCGGCCCGACCUUUUCCACGGCGAAGCAGGCAAGGCCCUCCCGGACAACAACAGAGCGGUCCUCAGAUCGCAUGGAGGUGGCCCACGAGACGCAACGCGCGGCAACAAGGACGCCCUCGUGCUUCCAUUUACCAUGCGACUGCCAAUGGCAACAACGGCAAAGGGAGGAUAAGGUCUCACCAUAGCCCUCGGCCUCUAGGACGGAGCCGCACAGGACUAGGACGCGGCUACACACCGUCACACACGAACGUUGAGCAGCUGUAGCGACGACGCCGUCAGGCGCGGGCGCGCGGCGCAGAAGC